AUGGUCCACCAUGGACCAGAGCAUUUCCAGGUGGUUUCUCGUGGUCCAUGGGGAUUUUCUAUGGAUCGAGUGGCCUGUUGCACGAUCUGACAGCUUCCAAGGUGUUGCAAGUUUGAUCUAAUGGCUGCAUGCUUGAUCAACAUGAUCAAGGGGCGUGCAGCAGGUGAUGAGGUGCGAUCAAAUGACCCAGGGAUAAGCCAAUCG
rnacentral:lncRNA from 1 species